rnacentral:rRNA from 1 species
GGCCAGACUCCUACGGGAGGCAGCAGUGGGGAAUAUUGCACAAUGGGGGAAACCCUGAUGCAGCAACGCCGCGUGAGUGAAGAAGUAUUUCGGUAUGUAAAGCUCUAUCAGCAGGGAAGAAGAUGACGGUACCUGAUUAAGAAGCCCCGGCUAACUACGUGCCAGCAGCCGCGGUAAUACGUAGGGGACAAGCGUUAUCCGGAUUUACUGGGUGUAAAGGGAGCGCAGACGGCAGUGCAAGUCUGGAGUGAAAGCCCGGGGCCCAACCCCGGAACUGCUCUGGAAACUGUGCGGCUAGAGUGCUGGAGGGGCAGGCGGAAUUCCUGGUGUAGCGGUGAAAUGCGUAGAUAUCAGGAGGAACACCGGCGGCGAAGGCGGCCUGCUGGACCGUGACUGACGUUGAGGCUCGAGAGCGUGGGGAGCAAACAGGAUUAGAUACCCCAGUAC